rnacentral:rRNA from 1 species
GGGGAAUAUUGGACAAUGGGGGGAACCCUGAUCCAGCCAUGCCGCGUGUGUGAAGAAGGCCUUUUGGUUGUAAAGCACUUUAAGCGAGGAGGAGGCUACCGAGAUUAAUACUCUUGGAUAGUGGACGUUACUCGCAGAAUAAGCACCGGCUAACUCUGUGCCAGCAGCCGCGGUAAUACAGAGGGUGCAAGCGUUAAUCGGAUUUACUGGGCGUAAAGCGCGCGUAGGUGGCCAAUUAAGUCAAAUGUGAAAUCCCCGAGCUUAACUUGGGAAUUGCAUUCGAUACUGGUUGGCUAGAGUAUGGGAGAGGAUGGUAGAAUUCCAGGUGUAGCGGUGAAGUGCGUAGAGAUCUGGAGGAAUACCGAUGGCGAAGGCAGCCAUCUGGCCUAAUACUGACACUGAGGUGCGAAAGCAUGGGGAGCAAACAGGAUUAGAUACCCUGGUAGUCCAUGCCGUAAACGAUGUCUACUAGCCGUUGGGGCCUUUGAGGCUUUAGUGGCGCAGCUAACGCGAUAAGUAGACCGCCUGGGGAGUACGGUCGCAAGACUA